rnacentral:rRNA from 1 species
UACGGGAGGCAGCAGUGAGGAAUAUUGGUCAAUGGGCGCGAGCCUGAACCAGCCAAGUAGCGUGCAGGAUGACGGCCCUACGGGUUGUAAACUGCUUUUAUGCGGGGAUAAAGUGCGGCACGUGUGCCGUUUUGCAGGUACCGCAUGAAUAAGGACCGGCUAAUUCCGUGCCAGCAGCCGCGGUAAU